rnacentral:misc_RNA from 1 species
GCUCCGUUGGUGAACCAGCGGAGGGAUCAUUACAGGACUCGCAAGACUCCUACAACCCUGUGAACUUAACUAUAAGCACGUUGCUUCGGCGGGUGUCUCGGAGGGGGUUCUCCCUCCCCGGGACGCUAAACCCGCCGGCAGCCUACUAUACUCUGUCUCUUUGCGUUGGCAUCUCGAGUACAAUCAAACAAGUUAAAACUUUCAACAACGGAUCUCUUGGUUCUG